GUGCUUGCUUGCUUCAGCAGCACAUAUACUAAAAGUGGAAUGAUACAGAAAAGAUAAGCAUGGUCCCGGAGCAAGAAUGACAUGCAAAUUCAUGAAGCAUUCCAUAUGUAU
ensembl:snRNA U6 U6 spliceosomal RNA